CCCUUAGAUGUCCUGGGCCGCACGCGCGCUACACUGAGUGUCUGAGAUACGAGUCUGCCUGGUCCGGCAAGGUCUAGGUAAUCGCUAAAAGACACAUCAUGUUUGGGAUAGAUUAUUGCAAAUAUUAAUCUUGAACGAGGAAUUCCUAGUAAGCGCAAGUCAACAGCUUGCGUUGAUUACGUCCCUGCCCUUUGUACACACCGCCCGUCGCUACUACUGAUUGGAUGUUUAAGCGAGGUUCUCGAACUGCUAGCGACUUAGCUUCGGUGAGGUCGCAGUGUGGGAAGUGAACCUAGCUUUGGUGUCUAGAGGAAGUAAAAGUCGUAACA
rnacentral:rRNA from 1 species